rnacentral:rRNA from 1 species
CUGGAGGACAGGUGCUGCAUGGCUGUCGUCAGCUCGUGUCGUGAGAUGUGGGUUAAGUCCCGCAACGAGCGCAACCCUUGCCUUUAGUUGCCAGCAGUUCGGCUGGGCACUCUAAAGGGACUGCCGGUGUUAAACCGGAGGAAGGUGGGGAUGACGUCAAGUCCUCAUGGCCUUUAUGACCAGGGCUACACACGUACUACAAUGGCCGAUACAAAGGGCAGCGACACUGCGAGGUGAAGCCAAUCCCGUAAAAUCGGUCUCAGUCCGGAUUGGAGUCUGCAACUCGACUCCAUGAAGUUGGAAUCGCUAGUAAUCGUGGAUCAGCAUGCCACGGUGAAUACGUUCCCGGGCCUU